GGGAGGUAGUGACAAUAAAUAACAAUACGGGGUCCUUUCGGGUUUCGUAAUUGGAAUGAGUACAAUUUAAAUCUCUUAACGAGGAACAAUUGGAGGGCAAGUCUGGUGCCAGCAGCCGCGGUAAUUCCAGCUCCAAUAGCGUAUAUUAAAGUUGUUGCAGUUAAAAAGCUCGUAGUUGAAUUUCGGGAUCAGUUCGCCGGUCGUGCCUUCGGUAUGUACUGGUGUUACUGGUUCCUACCUUCUGAUGAACCGUCAUGUCAUUAAUUUGGUGUGGCGGGGAAUCAGGACUGUUACUUUGAAAAAAUUAGAGUGUUUAAAGCAGGCUCGCGCUUGAAUACAUUAGCAUGGAAUAAUGAAAUAGGACGUUCGAUCCUAUUUUGUUGGUUUCUAGGAUUGACGUAAUGAUUAAUAGGGAUAGUUGGG
rnacentral:rRNA from 1 species